UUCAUACUCCCUCCGUCCGAAAAUACUUGUCAUCAAAAUAGAUAAAAAAGAUGUAUCUAGAACUAAAAUAUGUCUAGAUGCAUCCCCUUUUAUCCAUUUUGAUGACAAGUAUUUCCAGACAGAGGGAUUACAUC
rfam:Triticum aestivum genome assembly, contig: Triticum_aestivum_CS42_TGACv1_scaffold_513652_6BS